AUGCACGCUGGCGGCGUGCCUAAUACAUGCAAGUCGAGCGAACAGACGAGGAGCUUGCUCCUCUGACGUUAGCGGCGGACGGGUGAGUAACACGUGGAUAACCUACCUAUAAGACUGGGAUAACUUCGGGAAACCGGAGCUAAUACCGGAUAAUAUAUUGAACCGCAUGGUUCAAUAGUGAAAGACGGUUUUGCUGUCACUUAUAGAUGGAUCCGCGCCGCAUUAGCUAGUUGGUAAGGUAACGGCUUACCAAGGCAACGAUGCGUAGCCGACCUGAGAGGGUGAUCGGCCACACUGGAACUGAGACACGGUCCAGACUCCUACGGGAGGCAGCAGUAGGGAAUCUUCCGCAAUGGGCGAAAGCUUGACGGAGCAACGCCGCGUGAGUGAUGAGGGUCUUCGGAUCGUAAAACUCUGUUAUUAGGGAAGAACAAAUGUGUAAGUAACUAUGCACGUCUUGACGGUACCUAAUCAGAAAGCCACGGCUAACUACGUG
rnacentral:rRNA from 1 species